rnacentral:rRNA from 1 species
AGGACGAACGGCUGGCGGCGUAGCCUAAUACAUGCAAGUCGAACGGACUUUUCUAUGGAAGCUUGCUUCCACUGAGAAGAUAGUGGCGAACGGGUGAGUAACACGUGGGUAACCUGCCCAUAAGAGGGGGAUAACAUCCGGAAACGGGUGCUAAUACCGCAUAGUUUUCUUGAUCGCAUGAUCGGGAAAGGAAAGACGGCCUUUGUGCUGUCGCUUAUGGAUGGACCCGCGGCGUAUUAGUUAGUUGGUGAGGUAACGGCUCACCAAGACGAUGAUACGUAGCCGACCUGAGAGGGUGAUCGGCCACAUUGGGACUGAGACACGGCCCAAACUCCUACGGGAGGCAGCAGUAGGGAAUCUUCCGCAAUGGACGAAAGUCCGACGGAGCAACGCCGCGUGAGUGAAGAAAGGUUUUCGGAUCGUAAAACUCUGUUGUCAGAGAAGAACAAGUUGGAGAGUAACUGCUCCAGCCUUGACGGUAUCUGACCAGAAAGCCACGGCUAACUACGUGCCAGCCGCAGC